rnacentral:rRNA from 1 species
UUGGAGGGCAAGUCUGGUGCCAGCAGCCGCGGUAAUUCCAGCUCCAAUAGCGUAUAUUAAAGUUGUUGCAGUUAAAAAGCUCGUAGUUGAAUUUCGGGAUCAGAUUGCCGGUCGUGCCUCGGUACGCACUGGCAUUAUUGGUUCCUACCUUCUGAAGAACCGCGAUGUCAUUAAUUUGGUGUCGUGGGGAAUCAGGACUGUUACUUUGAAAAAAUUAGAGUGUUUAAAGCAGGCGCACGCUUGAAUACAUUAGCAUGGAGUAAUGAAAUAGGACGUUUGACUCUAUUUUGUUGGUUUCUAGGAUCGACGUAAUGAUUAAUAGGGAUAGUUGGGGGCAUUAGUAUUCAAUUGUCAGAGGUGAAAUUCUUGGAUUUAUUGAAGACUAACUACUGCGAAAGCAUUUGCCAAGGAUGUUUUCAUUAAUCAAGAACGAAAGUUAGGGGAUCGAAGACGAUCAGAUACCGUCGUAGUCUUAACCAUAAACUAUGCCGACUAGGGAUCGGAUGAUGUUAAUUUUUUAAUGACUCAUUCGGCGCCUUACGGGAAACCAAAGUGUUUGGGUUC